UCUGCCUGAUGGCGGGGGAUAACUACUGGAAACGGUAGCUAAUACCGCAUAACAGUUUAUGCCGCAUGGCAUAAGAGUGAAAGGCGCUUUCGGGUGUCGCUGAUGGAUGGACCCGCGGUGCAUUAGCUAGUUGGUGAGGUAACGGCUCACCAAGGCCACGAUGCAUAGCCGACCUGAGAGGGUGAUCGGCCACACUGGGACUGAGACACGGCCCAG
rnacentral:rRNA from 1 species